rnacentral:rRNA from 1 species
AGUGAACGCUGGCGGCGUGCUUAACACAUGCAAGUCGAACGAGUAAGUGCUGUAGUAAUACAGAUUACUGCUAGUGGCAGACGGGUGAGUAAUACAUGGGAAUCUGCCUUGAAGUCUGGGAUGACUGUUGGAAACGACAGCUAAUACCGGAUAUUGCCGAGAGGUGAAAGAUUUAUCGCUUCAAGAUGAGCCCAUGCAAGAUUAGCUAGUUGGUGAGGUAAUGGCUCACCAAGGCGAAGAUCUUUAGCUGGUCUAAGAGGAUGAUCAGCCACACUGGAGCUGAGACACGGUCCAGACUCCUACGGGAGGCAGCAGUGGGGAAUAUUGGACAAUGGGCGAAAGCCUGAUCCAGCGACGCCGCGUGAGUGAAGAAGGCCUUCGGGUUGUAAAGCUCUUUUAGUAGGGAAGAUGAUGACGGUACCUACAGAAAAAGCUCCGGCUAACUUCGUGCCAGCCGCCGCCGUAA